CUGCUGGAUAAUGGCUGAACGCCUCUAAGUCAGAAUCCAUGCCAGAACGCGGCGAUACCGCCCGCACGUACAGAUGGACAAGAAUAGGCUCCGGCUUAGCGUCUUAGCAGGCGAUCUGUCCGCGGCGCAGGAAGCGCGCCGCGGUGUUUCGCGUAUUGUAAUUUCAACACGAGCGGGGUCAAAUCCUUUGCAGACGACUUAGCUGUGCGAAACGGUCCUGUGAGCAGUAGAGUAGCCUUGUUGUUACGAUCUGCUGAGGGUCAGCCGUCACUUCGCCUCGAUUUCCCCGACGAUGCCGCUGGGUCUCUCGCUGCGGCGAGGCCCCAGCGUGUCGUGGGGGGGGACUGUGCAGGGGAGGGAGAGGGAGAGGGAGAGCUCGCCCGCCUAGACGGGCGGCGACGACGACGACGAGUACGAGGACGACGAGAUUGCCUCUGCGUCUGCGAGGGCCGAGACGGUGCAGGGUAAGCCGGCUGACUUGGCUUUGACUUUGCUUCCGUCUCUGUUUUCUUCUCAUUCCCCCCUCUGCAAAGGUGAGCGGAUCGGGGCUCGUGGGUGUUUGGUUUGUAUGGGCGGGAGCGCACCUUUUGUUUUUCGCCAUACAAAUCGACGCUUUCGGGACGAGAAAAGUAGGCCGGGUGGGUGUUGGUGGCGGGGCCGCGACGUCGACGAGGUCGGAGGGCCUGCGAGCGGGGGACCUCGCUGGCAGGCAGGCAGGGGCGGGUCAGCGGUCGCCGCGGGGGGGGAGGGGGUCUGGGCGCUGGUUCCAGGUAGGUAAAACAAGAAAGGCUGUUAGGAGGCGCGGUGAAGGUAAUGGAUUUAUAGGGGGAAGGGGGCGAAGUUGGCGGUAAGAGGCCCUUACGGGGAGGGAGCUGCCGACCUAGCGGCUGGGGCAGACGCUGUCGGGAGGGGUUGGCGCGCUGCAGGUCACGUGACAUCGGGUAAGUCACGUGGGAUCACAGAAGGAAGACAUAGGGUAGCUCCGAUGUUCUGCUAUGUAGAGGUCACGUGACAUUGGGUAAGUCACGUGGGUAUCUAGAGGUCACGUGAUAUUGGGCAAGUCACGUGGGAUUACAGAAGGAAGACAUAGGGUAGCUCUGAUGUUCUCUUAUCUAGAGGUCACGUGAGAAUAAAGGUAUAGGGUAGGCUCUCUGUCCUCUAUUGAUAAGGUAUUAUAGAAGUUGAAUAACCCAAUGUCUUCCGUACUAAAACCGACUUAGAUACGAAAUGGUGGGGGGCGGGGUGGUAUAGGGUAGGUCAGUCGGUGUAGGGUAGGCUUGGGUUGGCUGCGGCGUUAUCCCUCUCCUCGCUGCGCUGGUGGUGCCUGGUGCAUCAGUGCAUUAGUGCAUGCUUGCAGCGCUCGCAGGGUGUGCCGUCGGGCGCUGGUGGUGCCUAGUGCAAUUGGUGCAUGCUUGCAGCGCUCGCAGGGUGUGCCGUCGGGCGCUGGUGUGGUGCGGGGCGGCGCGCGAGGAACCUUCCCCAAAAUCUGCGCUCGUGGGUUUUUCGUUUGUAUGGGCGGGAGCAGACCUUUUUUUUUUGCCAUACAAAUUGAGCGUUUUCGAGAAAAAAAAAAACGCGCGUUGUAUGGUGGGGGCGGGGCCGGAGCGUCGAUGGGGUCGGUGGGUAUGUGAGGGAGGGGCGAUCAGCCCGGACAGCCCUCGGGGUCAGAGGCGAGCAAGCCCUGUGCUGCAGGGCGUGUGAGCGCUGGCUUGUGGGCGAGUACCGCUCCCGACGUACCAUAUCUUGCACGGCGCCUAUAGGUGACUUCUCAAAAGAUCUUGCAGGCUUCCGUCUCGGUUGAGACAGAGUCAUAAUGGGCGCCAAACGUCCCCGAAACUGGUCGCUACGGCUUCACAGCGUACGGGAUAUGCCUGGCUGCAGCAGGGGGCCUCGUGCCCCGUUCCUGCGUGCCGGAUGGGUUCUGUGGGCGAUUGGCCGCUGGGCGGGUUCGCCGUAGACACAGAGCAGCAGGGGCCAACCACGGGCAGCUGACGCCGGAAUGGCUGACGAUGCCCGCUGAGUCCUCCUCCUAGGGCGCCCAGGCCGCACGAACGUGCGCGCCGACGGCGGCCCUGGGGAACGUUAGAGGGGGAAAGCGGAAUGCCUCGGGCGGUCCUGCUGGCCUUUGCAAGCCGGCGCUAAAGGGCCACCCGCCAGGCGCCGCCCGUCCUCGUGGCGGGCGACCACCAGAAAACUAACUCUCUCCAGCGCCGGCCCCCGCGGCGCUGGCAGGCCACCCCCGGCGAACGAUAGUUACCUGGUUGAUUCUGCCAGUAGCCAUAUGCUUGUCUCAAAGAUUAAGCCAUGCAUGUCUAAGUAUAAGCAAUUAUACGGCGAAACUGCGAAUGGCUCAUUAUAUAAGUUAUCGUUUAUUUGAUAGUAUCUUGCUACUUGGAUAACCGUG
rnacentral:misc_RNA from 1 species